rnacentral:rRNA from 1 species
AUAUAGAUUAAGUUAUUAAGGGCGCACGGUGGAUGCCUUGGCACUAGAAGCCGAUGAAGGACGUUACUAACGACGAUAUGCUUUGGGGAGCUGUAAGUAAGCUUUGAUCCAGAGAUUUCCGAAUGGGGAAACCCAGCACGAGUUAUGUCGUGUUAUC